AAGUCGUAACAAGGUUUCCGUAGGUGAACCUGCGGAAGGACCAUUAUCGAGAGGGGCUUCGCGCUCCGGGGGGUUUCGGCCCCCGCCUCUGCACCCCGUGGUUACCUACCUCGUCGCUGCUUUGGCGGGCCUGGAGCGGUUCUGCUCACGCCCGCCAAACGCGGCCCCCCCCCCCCCCCUUCUGUUCACCCGACGACGUCCGAGUUUCAUGAUCAAAGAAUCAAAACUUUCCACCACGGAACUCUUGGUUCUGGCGUCCAUGAAAAACGCAACGGAAUGGGAUAAGGAAUGGGAAUUGCAGAAAUCAGUGAAUCCUCCAAUCUUUGAACGGNCAUUGGGCCCCUCGGGAUCCCGGGGGGCAUGCCUGUUCGAGCGUCAUGCGCCCUUCAAGCUCCGCUGGUCGUGGGUUUCGCCCGCCCGGCGAGCCCGAAAAUCAGUGGGGGUCCGGGGGACUUUCAGCGCAGUCAAUGUUUUCCCGCUUCGAAAGUGUCCCCCGCGGCCCGCCAGACAACCCCGUCCACUGUUCAAUGAUUGACCUCGGAUCAGGUAGGGAUAUCCCGCUGAACUUAAGCAUAUCAAUAAGCGGAGGAAAAGAAACCAACAGGGAUGGCCUCAGUAACGGCGAGUGAAGCGGCAUCAGCUCAAAUUUGAAAUCUGGCUCCCGCGGGGCCCGAGUUGUAAUUUGGAGAGGGUGUUUCGGGUGCGGAGCCGGUCUAAAUCCCUUGGAACAGGGUGUCGCAGAGGGUGAGAAUCCCGUACGUGACCGGCGACCAACCCCCGGUGAAACCCCUUCGACGAGUCGAGUUGUUUGGGAAUGCAGCUCCAAAUGGGUGGUAAAUUCCAUCUAAAGCUAAAUACCGGCCGGAGACCGAUAGCGCACAAGUAGAGUGAUCGAAAGAUGAAAAGCACUUUGGAAAGAGAGUUAAACAGUACGUGAAAUUGUUGAAAGGGAAGCGCUGGCGACCAGACCUCGUUCCGGGCGAUCACCGGCCCGUUUCGGGUCGUGCACUCGUCCGGAUCCAGGCCAGCAUCGGUUUGGGCGGUCGGAUAAAGGCGGGCAGGAUGUGGCUCCUUCCGGGGAGUGUUAUACCUGCGCGCGCAAUGCGGCCAGCCGGGACCGAGGACCGCGCUUCGGCUAGGAUGCUGGCGUAAUGGUCGUCAGCGACC
rnacentral:rRNA from 1 species